UGACGUAUGGACAACAAACAGUUGGACUCGAGUAAGCUAACGUUAGCUUGCACAAGGACGAGGAGAGAAAACAGCUUCUUUGCAUUCAAGCGCUUCUCGGGGAACGUCAAUAAGCGGCAUGUCUUUGUUUUAAAAUAACAACCAAAAAGGAGAGUAUUGUUCAACAGUUAAAUCAUUUGGGUACGAGAACGAAACAUGCUCCGGACUAUGACGCUUGUUUUUCUCCUUACCUAGUCGAGGAUUGUGAUGCGAGGUGCUCUGGUGAGACCGCGAACGACAUUCGGAAAUUAUUUUUCUUAAACUAGAAUGAUUGACUCAAAUACAAAGUAUUUGGGUUUACCGAAAGGUGCAUAAAACUACACCGGUCUAGAUGUCAUUGUCGGGCAACUACUUUAGCUAGCUUCAUGCACAUGAAAUAGUAUUUUGCUAACGUAAUGGAGGCACCGUGGGUACAGUUUUAGCUAGCUGGUCACCCAAAAUAUAGCUAUAACGUUAGCUAGCUUCCACAUCAACUUUUAGAGUGUGCUGACCAACAAAAUACAGAAUACUGUAACAUAAAACGGCUAUCCAUGCACUUUGUUGAUAUCUAUCGUGGUUACCUAGCGUUAAAUUAGCUAGCCAAACAAGUAUAAACUAGAUUGAGACUAGCAGCAGAAUACAUUGUUUCUCGGUUCGGAGGAUUUGUCACGGUCGUUUGACACGAGGUGUUGCCUUUAUCUCUGGAUAAUUUCACAACAAUUUACCGUUCCUGGACAUGUGAUAUGGUCAAUUUAUCAAAGUUUUUCUGAAAUUACAAUUUAAGGCUAUAAAUAUUCUGAACUGCAGGCACCCAUCACGUGUCAAACCAGUCAAAUUUGCUUGCUUGAAAGUUGUCAAUAAUGUGCGAUAUUAUCUCUUGAAAUAGUUCUGUGUGGGCACAAAUAGCUGUUUUUGUCAAUCAAUUACGUUAACACUCAAAAAGCACUUAUUGUCAUCGACAAAGUUGUAAACAUUCUUGAUGAAAGCAUUUAUUUUACAAAUUAUGUUAGCUAUUGAAGGAUCAAAGACCAACGUUCAAAGGUUAGACUGACAUCUACUCAAAGGCAUUACUUUAAAUAUUGUGUCAAGUAUAGAGUUCUCGAAUCAGGUCAAUUGCCAACACUGUCUUCCUGGAAAUGAAAAUAUGAAUGUCGAGGAGCAAGCUCUGGAUUUGUGCAAUGUCAAAAUUAAGAAUAAUGUUGGUGACAAUACUACCAAUAACUCGGAAGAGAUCAUUCCCCGGCUUUCGGAACUGAUGGAUGGAGAUUUGUGUAAACAAGGCAUUGGCAACGAAGCCGCCAACAUGUCCUCUCUAGCUAAGCUCACAGACAACCCGCGAAGGGAGGACAACCACCGGUCAAAAGAGACACUAGAAAUCGACGAAGUGAAUGGGAAUAAGAACAACAGCGUCCCAGAUACCUCUGCAAUAGUCAGUUCUGACUUUGACGUUCAUCGUGACGACCAACGCCAAGAUGAGAGUAUCAAGGAUACAACACCAUUGGCCCUCAUGUUUGCUAUUGAGGAAGGGGAUGAUGGUGGCGAUAUGGACAUAGGUGUGGAUUUGAGUCUGGAUGAAAGUGGCAUGUUGGAGUCAGAACUUACAGACCAGGGACCAUCCCUAGCAGAGGAGGCAUCCUCAAGCAGUACCAAUCCAUAUUCAUCAACUCCAGACGCUGUCACCGACAAGGAACCUGAGAAACCCUCAGAACAGGAGGACUCACCACCUGUCACUGCCCCAGGAGAGGUCCUCUCUCCAGCCCUGGAUGAGGGGGAUGAUAAACACAAAAAUGGCAAGAGGGUGACUUUUCCUUCAGAUGAGGAUAUUGUCUCUGGAGCAGUGGAGCCCAAGGACCCUUGGAGACAUGCCCAGAAUGUGACAGUGGAUGAGAUUCUCUCUGCCUACAGACAAGCCUGCGUGAAACUCAACUGUAAACCCAUCCCCAAAGUGCUUAAACAGAUGCAGGAGCUGAAAGACCUAACUCAUCGAAAUGAAUGCCUGGACCUUAAAGGUGAGAAGCUGGACUAUAAGUCGUGUGAGUCCUUGGAGGAGGUGUUCAAGCGGGUCCAGUUUAAAGUGGUGGACCUGGAGCAGACCAACCUGGAUGAAGAUGGUGCGUCCGCUCUCUUUGACAUGAUUGAGUACUAUGAGUCGGCCACACACCUCAACAUUUCCUUCAACAAGCACAUCGGCACCCGCGGCUGGCAGGCCGCAGCCCACAUGAUGAGAAAGACGAGCUCUCUGCAGUACCUGGACGCCCGCAACACGCCCCUGCUGGACCACUCUGCCCCGUUUGUGGCACGGGCGCUCCGCAUUAGCGGCAGUCUGGCUGUGCUGCACCUGGAGAACGCUGGGCUCUCUGGACGACCACUGAUGCUGCUGGCCACGGCUCUGAAGAUGAACAUGAACCUACGGGAGCUGUACUUGGCUGAUAACAAGCUGAACGGCCUGCAGGACUCUGCACAGCUGGGCAACCUGCUCAAGUUCAACUGCAACAUCCAGAUACUGGACCUUCGCAACAACCACAUACUGGACUCUGGUCUGGCCUACGUCUGUGAAGGCCUGAAGGAACAGAGGAAAGGCCUGGUCACUCUGGUGCUCUGGAACAACCAGCUAACACACAACGGCAUGGGCUACCUCGCAGCUGCACUGCCCUGUACCCAGAGUUUGGAGACCCUAAAUCUGGGCCAUAACUCUGUGGGGAACGAGGGGGUCCACAAGCUGAAGGACAGUCUGAUCGCCAACCGCUCGGUGCUCCGGCUGGGCCUGGCGUCCACCAAGCUGUCUUGCGAGGGUGCCGUGGCGGUGGCUGAGUUCAUCGCCGAGAGCCCCCGGCUGCUGCGUCUGGACCUGAGGGAGAACGAGAUCAAGACGGGGGGCCUCAUGGCCCUCUCCCUGGCCCUCAAAGUCAACACCUCCCUCCUACGCCUCGACCUGGACAGAGAGCCCAAGAAAGAGACUGUGAAGAGCUUCAUCGAUACGCAGCGUUCCCUGCUGGCUGAGAUCCAGAACGGCUGCAAGCGGAACUUCAUCCUAGCCAAGGAGAAGGAGGAGACCGAGCAGCAGAUGCAUUCGGCCUCCAUGGCCGAGAUCGCCACCGAGGACAGAACCAUAGAGGAGGACGGAGCUGAUUCCGGCGAGCUUGUUGAUAACGAUGGGAAAGACAGUGAGUGUGAGGGAGGAGAGGAAGGAGUGAAAGACACUGAGCGCCUGACUGAAAGCCAAUUGGCAGUGAGCUCUGAGGGAGUGGUGUUGCCUUUGCUUUUGGAGUCCGACUCGGACACGGACGAAGAAGAGGAUGAAGAGGUGGUUCUCUCUAAAGCUCCCUCCGUCUCCCCCACCCCCAAACACACUGGUCCUUCACUCCGGGCGGCGACAACUCAGCACCCCCUCAAUGCCUCACAGACACCCCCCGUCCCCUCUGCCUCACCUGCUACGGGGUCUGUCAUUUCAGGGAUCACCGUCACAGAGUCCACGGGGGCCCCCGGUACGCCCCCCUCGCCGGGCCGCUGUAUCUCUGUGUCGAGCCCCGGGAGGGGCCACAAGAUCUUCAUGGUGACCAGAGUAGAGAGCCCAUCUGACCAACAGCAGUUCCAGGUCCUGGGGAAGAUUGGCCUGACCAAGCCCCAGGUCUCCAAAGAGUCGGUGGUGUCAUUAGUGAAGGAAACCACACAGGAACCACAUCCUGGUUCACAACCCCCACAGGAGGAGGUGAGAACACAACCCCAGGCCACGCCCACACCACUGACACAGGAGCUGGUCCAGAGUUCAGACGACCCACAGACAGUCAACCCUAAACCGAUGGAGCAGAGUCCUGUUGCGCCAGAGCAACCCCCUUCAGAGGAGACCGUAGUAGAGACUCCUAAUGACCCGUCGGAGACGCUAGAACUACCAUCCAACCUCCUAACCCAGCCCGCUGAGGAGGAAGUGGAGGGCGUUCUAGACAGUUCUCAACCUGUACUGGCGGAGCAGAGCCUGUUAACAGCAGCCCAGACAUCACACUCACCCUCCCUUCCUACAGAAAUAGCAGCAGCAACACUAGCAUCACCCCAACAGACAGAGCAGAUGGUAGAGACAACUACAGAGCCCCGGCUAGAACAGUCUGCUGUUGAGCAGCAGUCCACUGAAGCUGCACUGGAAGGAGAGGAGGGGGAGGAGGUGGUUGUGGAAAAGGAGGAGAGUCAGGACCCAGUAGAAGAGACAUUUUGUGAACAGGCGGAGUCUCAAACCGACACAGAGGAGGAAGAUGACAUGCAGUCAGAACGUCUUCCGCAGCAGGACCAGAGUCCGGAACAGGCUCGUGACACAGUUCAGCAACCGUUAGCGCCGCAACCGUUAGCACCUCAGCUAGCUACACAGACAAACACGAAGCCCCUGAGUCUGCUUCUAACAGCACCGCUCCAGUCACAGCAUGAAACAGUGCAGCCAGACUCUGAGCUUCUGCCCCCACAACAGGAACCGGCAGAGACACUUCCACAGGCACAGCGACAGGUGGCGCCAGAGAGUCCGCCGGAGCAGGGAGCAACGGAGAGUGUAGCAGAAGCAGAAACUGAACAAGAACUGUAUCUGUGGGAGGAACAGCAGCAACUAGCACAACAGGCACUUCCUGUGCAGGUGGAACUGCAACAACAACAUCCUGUUCUAGAGGAACUACAGAAGCAGCAGCUUCAACCAGAGGGGCAAUCACAGACCACUCUUCCCGCUGAGCCCUCACCUGUUCCAGCCGAGACAGACACUUCCCUGGAGGUGGAGGGCCGUAGCUCCCCUCCCAAGGCAGAGGAGUCCCCAGACGAGAGCUCCACAGACGAGGGGGAGAGCGUGGAGGAGGUGGUGGGCUCGGCCCUUCCCAACGGCCUGAAGCCAGAGUUCGCCCUUCACCUGCUGGACCCCGAGGGCCCCAAGCCUGGGCCUGGCAGCUGUGUGAUGGAGCACGUGAGUGUCACAGCAGAGCUGAGCUGUGGUCAGGACCUGGAGGAGCUGUUGCUGGAGGCCAGCCUGGAGACUGGGAGAGACGCACCAUAACUGUGUCAUGGUACACCUACACUUACUAAAUCUCCUGGAUCUCUUUACAAUUGGUUCUGUAGGAGAGAGGAACACAGGACUCGUAUCGUCUCGGUGACUCGGCUUGUUGCUCCUCUGAUUUUGUUGUCGUUACCACGAACUCCUCACCACCCCCUCUCUAUGAAAACAGAGGACCAGUUGUCAUCUAAGUAAAAAGAAAAAAAGACCCAAAACAAUAAUCAUUGAGCUUCGUCACAGCAUAUAAGGAAUUCACUUCAACUGAAACGCGCGCACACUGUAUUGUAAAGAAAGUUUAACAAAAUAAACAAGAAUGGACACUAAGAAAAUCACACUAACCUUUUGCCUGUCACUACAUUCCGUCAAUCAGGAAACCACGCUCAUGCUGGGGGGGUGAGAAAGAGAGAGAGAGAGAGGGACGGAGGGGAUUUAUCAUUGCGCUAACCAAAGACACAGGACACACUGUGCUCACCCCCAGCUCCACCCCGACGUGUGUUCUUCAUAGUGUCGUGGGUUUGCACACUGACACAAAACCAUACUAUUGCCCUCUGCUGGACGAAAGAGUGUGCACAGCUGUGUGGGACUCAGACAAGAGGACCCACUGGCUUUGUGUGUCAUUCUCUGACAAUGACAGUGGGGCACAGAUGGUUUUAUAACCAAGGAAUGUGUGUGUUACAGUUUUAUCUGCCCCCCACCACCACCUCGUAAGGGAUCUCUGCCAAAUUGAUCGCUUUCUUUUCUGUUCCUUCCCCUCCGUUGGCUUUGGCCCCCUCAGGAAUCGUCCCCUCCAGUGUCUCUCCAGCAACGCCCUGGGAACACCCAAACCAUCUGUCAUCUGCCAAAAGCACACGGUCUCAGUCACAAAUUAUGUUGGGUUUCCUUUAAGAAUCAGAUAGCGGAGUUACUCCAAUCUAAAGCUUUCUGGAAACCUCUGUAAAUGUUGGAAAACAAAAUGUCUGCCUUGACGGAGUAAUGCCGUUCAUUACGGAGGAAGUCUACCCUUUUUCUCUCUUUAUUUUUCUUCUCUGGACUGGACAGUUAUCAGACAUUCUUUUCCAGAUGGAUUUUUUUUUUUUUGGUCUCCGACCAGAGUGAUUUAAAUGUAGUGUGACACUCAAUAGGAGUAUAAAUAAAAAGCAGGUCUGACCGUC